AGCAACAGAACCCUGUGUCAAAUCCAGGAGCCUGGGGGACUGUAGAACCUGAAGUUUUACUGGCUCGGAUUCUGAAGGUAAUUUUGAGACCCCUGAAGCUGAAACCCCGAUCCGAUCACCUUUCAAGGAGUCCUGUGAUCCAUCACUCGGAUUGGCAGGACCUGGGGCCAAAAGCCAAGAAUCACAAGAAGCUGAUGAACAGCUUGUAGCAGAAGUGGUUGAAAAAUGUUCAUCUAAGACUUGUUCUAAACCUUCAGAAAAUGAAGUGCCACAGCAGGCCAUUGACUCUCACUCAGUCAAGAAUUUCAAAGAAGAACCUGAACAUGAUUUUAGCAAAAUUUCCAUCGUGAGGCCAUUUUCAAUAGAAACGAA
rnacentral:sRNA from 1 species